rnacentral:rRNA from 1 species
CCCAGACUCCUACGGGAGGCAGCAGUGAGGAAUAUUGGUCAAUGGGCGCGAGCCUGAACCAGCCAAGUCGCGUGAGGGAAGACGGUCCUAUGGAUUGUAAACCUCUUUUGCCGGGGAGCAAAGAGCGGGACGCGUCCCGCCUCGAGAGUACCCGGAGAAAAAGCAUCGGCUAACUCCGUGCCAGCAGCCGCGGUAAUACGGAGGAUGCGAGCGUUAUCCGGAUUUAUUGGGUUUAAAGGGUGCGCAGGCGGAGGUGCAAGUCAGCGGUCAAAUUGCGGGGCUCAACCCCGUACUGCCGUUGAAACUGCAUCCCUUGAGUGCGCGAGAAGUAUGCGGAAUGCGUGGUGUAGCGGUGAAAUGCAUAGAUAUCACGCAGAACUCCGAUUGCGAAGGCAGCAUACCGGCGCGCAACUGACGCUCAUGCACGAAAGCGUGGGUAUCGAACAGGAUUAGAUACCCUCGUA